rnacentral:rRNA from 1 species
GACGAACGCUGGCGGCGUGCCUAAUACAUGCAAGUUGAGCGCUGAAGGUUGGUACUUGUACCAACUGGAUGAGCAGCGAACGGGUGAGUAACGCGUGGGGAAUCUGCCUUUGGGCGGGGGACAACAUUUGGAAACGAAUGCUAAUACCGCAUAAAAACUUUAAACACAAGUUUUAAGUUUGAAAGAUGCAAUUGCAUCACUCAAAGAUGAUCCCGCGUUGUAUUAGCUAGUUGGUGAGGUAAAGGCUCACCAAGGCGAUGAUACAUAGCCGACCUGAGAGGGUGAUCGGCCACAUUGGGACUGAGACACGGCCCAAACUCCUACGGGAGGCAGCAGUAGGGAAUCUUCGGCAAUGGACGAAAGUCUGACCGAGUAACGCCGCGUGAGUGAAGAAGGUUUUCGGAUCGUAAAACUCUGUUGGUAGAGAAGAACGUUGGUGAGAGUGGAAAGCUCAUCAAGUGACGGUAACUACCCAGAAAGGGACGGCUAACUACGUG